UACGUGGGGGGCAAGCGUUGUCCGGAAUCAUUGGGCGUAAAGAGCGUGUAGGCGGCCUGGUAAGUCCGCUGUGAAAGUCCAGGGCUCAACCCUGGAAUGCCGGUGGAAACUGUCAGGCUCGAGUCCGGAAGAGGCGAGUGGAAUUCCUGGUGUAGCGGUGAAAUGCGCAGAUAUCGUAAGGAAGACCAGUGGCGAAGGCGGGUCUCUGGACAGUUCCUGACGCUGAGGCACGAAGGUCAGGGGAGCAAACGGG
rnacentral:rRNA from 1 species